UCAGGUGACUAUAGCAUCAGGGUUCCACCUCUUCCCAUUCCGAACAGAGAAGUUAAGCCUGAUCACGCCGAUGGUACUGCGUAACAGUGGGAGA
rnacentral:rRNA from 1 species